CACACAUAUGUUAUAGCUAGCCUAUAUGCUUGGUCUCUUAGCUAAGAACUACAUAUGAUCUUGUUUUUAUUUUCUUACGAAUAAAUGGCAAUUCCGAUGCAGAAAUUCACCCUGCCUUUUUUCACCCUUCUCUUGGUUAAUCUCUGGUCCAAGCAAAUGGUGAUCAUGGCACUGGAGAUUAUACCAAUAGGAGUAGUUCUUGAUUUGAACUCUACAGUUGGAGAAAUGGCACAGAGCUGCAUGUCCAUGGCAGUCUCCGAUUUCUAUGCUCUUAAUGUUGAUUUUAAAACGAGACUCGCUCUUUUCACUAGGGAUUCCAGCAGUGAUGUCGUUGCUGCAACUUCUUCAGUGCUGGAUUUAAUGAAGAAUGAACAAGUGCAUGCUAUCAUAGGGCCUCAAACGUCAUCGCAAGCUAAGUUUGUAACAGAGCUUGGAGGAAAAGCGGAUGUUCCGAUUGUUUCUUUCUCAGCCACAAGCCCAACCCUUUCUGCAACUCAAAGCAAAUAUUUUGUCCGGACAGCCCAGGAUGAUUCUUCACAAGUGAAAGCAAUAGCCAGCAUUGUCCAAGCUUAUGGUUGGCGGGAGAUUGUACUGAUCUAUGAAGACACCGAAUAUGGAAAUGGUUUGGUUCCAUUUUUGUUAGAAGCCUUCCAAGAGAUCGACACUCGAGUCCCUUAUGGCAGUAGAAUUCCAUUGUAUUUCAACGACACUCAAAUCAUGAGGGAGCUCAGCAAGUUGAAGGCGAUGCAGAAGAGUAUAUUUCUAGUGCACAUGUCAGCCUCCCUUGGGUCCAGGCUGUUCUUACUUGCCAAGGAUGCAGGAAUGAUGAGCGAAGGAUAUGCAUGGCUCGUGACAGCUGGAUUAUCCACCUUGUUAGAUCCUAUAGGUUCUGAAGUCAUGGAUUCAAUGCAAGGUGUGUUGGGUAUAAAGCCACAUGUACCAACUUCAAAGAAACUUGAAAGUUUUAAAUCAAGAUGGAGAAAGAAUUUCACCAUAAGCAAACCACAAAGUAAGAUCAAUGAAUUAAACCUUUUCGGUUUGUGGGCAUAUGAUACAGUUUGGGCAAUAGCAAUGGCUGUAGAAAAGGCUGGUAUUGUGCAUUCUAGAUACGUAAAGCCGAAUACUAGUGAAAGCACAGUUGACAUUGCUGCCUUGGGAAAAUCUGAAACGGGGCCAAGACUCCUAAGCUCCAUAUUAAGCACAAGAUUUCAAGGCCUAAGUGGGGACUUCCAUUUGGCUGGUGGAGAAAGGGUACCUUCAGCAUUUGAAAUACUCAAUUUGAUCGGAAAAUCAGAGAGAGUCAUUGGAUAUUGGACUCCAGAGAGAGGACUCUCACGAAAUUUGUAUACUAAUGGUAAAAUAGCAUAUUCAACUUCCAAAAACAAACUGAAGGAGCCAAUUUGGCCAGGAGACACAACCCAGCAGCCAAAGAGCUUGAGGAUUGGGGUUCCACUGAAAACUGGUUUUAAUGAGUUUAUCGAAGUGGAAUGGAAUCCUGAAGAUGAUAAACCUAUUGUUUCAGGUUUCACCCGAGAUGUUUUCGUCUCCGUGGUUGAAGCAUUACCAUUCCCCCUUCCGUAUGAGUUCAUUCCCUUCGUCAACAAAAAUAAGCAGAGUGCUGGGACUUACAAUGAUCUUCUCGACCAAAUCAAACUAAAGAAUUUUGAUGCUGCGGUGGGAGAUAUAACAAUAAUUGCCAAUCGCUCAACAUAUGUGGAUUUUACGUUGCCUUUUUCAGAAUCAGGCAUCACAAUGGUGGUUUUGACAAAACGUGAUGAGAGGGAAAACAUGUGGAUUUUCUUGAAGCCACUAAGCCUGGAGCUUUGGUUAACAACUGGAAUAGCAUUCAUCCUCACUGGCUUAGUGGUGUGGGUGCUCGAACACCGUGAAAACAAAGUGUUCAGGGGAAAACCAGCGCAACAACUUGGCACAACGUUGUGGUUCUCCUUUUCAACCCUCUUCUUUGCACAUAGGGAGAAGGUGGUGAAUAACUGGACAAGAUUUGUAUUGAUCAUAUGGAUUUUUGUGGUGCUAAUCAUAUCACAGAGUUACACUGCUAGCUUAGCCUCAAUUUUGACUGUAAAGCGGUUGCAGCCUACAUUUGUUGAUGUCAAAGAGAUUAGAAAGAAUGGUUACUUUGUAGGACACCAGAAGGAUUCUUUUGUGAAAGACUUCCUCGUUAAACAAUUGAACUUCAAUGACACCAUGUUGAGGGAAUAUAGCACUCCAGAAGAGUAUCAUGAUGCAUUGUCUCGUGGAACCCACAAUGGUGGUGUAGCUGCUAUCUUGGCUGAAAUUCCCUACAUCAAACUCUUUCUAGCAAAGUAUUGCUCCAAAUUUCAAAUGGUAGGACCAACCUACAAAACCGAUGGAUUUGGCUUUGCAUUUCCCCUUGGAUCCCCACUGGUCCCUUACAUUUCAAGGGCAAUCUUGAAUGUCACACAAGAUAAAGAUAAAAUGGACGAAAUUCAACGAAGGAACUUAGGUGGCGAAACCACUUGCUCAGAUCAAGCUGCCAUGGUACCCUCUGGUGGUCUUGGUUUACCCAGCUUCGGAGGCCUCUUCAUCAUCACAGGAGUUGCUUCCAUGUCUGCGCUUCUGAUAUAUGUCACGAAGUUCCUUUACAUUCAUUGGCCUGCUUCGAACACCAUGGAUCGAGAAAGAUCCUUUUACUUGAGAGUUCUUGAAUUGGCAAAACAUUUUGACAAGGAAGAUCCAUCAGCUCAUCAUCUUAAUGGAGCUGGGUCAAGAGUUCACCCUGUACCAAGUGUUGAAAUAGUUGGAGCUUCACGUGAUAUCGAUGAUGCACGUAGCCAUUCAAGGACUUCCAGUGAAGGAUCUGGAGACAUCAUUGGAGAUCAAGACCAUGACAAUCAUACCCCAAGGAGCAGUGCUGCAAACCCCGAACCCCCACACACACCUUAGGCACUGCAUCCUUUGUUUUUAGGGAAGUAACAAUGCUAAUUUCCAAUGACAGUAGUGGGCUUCAGCUGGUGCUCAUAGUUACAUUCACUGGUUACGGAUUGGAGAGAUAUUUAUGGUUUCAUCAAGUUUUCUUUCCAAAAGCAUCCCACAUUCCAUUUCAAUUGUCUGGUUCGGACAAUGAUUGAUGCUGUAUUUUCUCAUUAUCUAUGUUAGCAAGGCUGCUUUUUUCUGUGCUGGUUUUCCUGAUGCCAAGGCUGGCUCUGUCGUAAUUCUUCAAAGCUGAGUUAAUUUCCUUGAUACUUAUGGUUUUUCUGCGUUUGCAUUAGUUGACAUUGCUGGGGAUAAGGAUAUGUAUUGCCUGAUUGAAUUAGUUUUCAUUGUUGAUAAUAGAAUUAUACAGAG